UGUCGUGUCAUGUCACUAGGUUGAAAGAUGAGCUGGAAUGGAAGUCAAUGAGGAGCAGAGCUGGCUCUUGUGAGCCUCUCCAUUCCGGCAGUCCUCUACUGUGGACGUGACUUAUUGUCGAAUCACACUGGAGCCAACGUACUCAGGUUUAACCAAGACAAGCUCCUCCAGCAUUGAGUUGAUGGUCUCUGGUUUACAAACCCAUCUCGCUGACUCGGCACUUGAGGCCUAACUGGAAAAUACUAACCAAGUCGGAACCGAAGGUGGUCCAACUCCACAAAGGUGCUGCACCCACUGCUCUGAGCCCAAAGUCUUAUCGCUGAGAGGGAUGAGUCCUUGGAACAAACAGGGAACAGCUAGGGUGGAGUCUAGGGGUGUAACUGAAUCGUGGGGCUCUCCUACUGGACUGGAAGCUGUGAAGAUGUGACCAGUCUUACAACAAACAGCCAAAGGAAUCAUGAAUGACUCAGUGUCUUCCUGCAGGCAGGAGUGACUUCCUGUCGGUGGCCCAUGUGAGCUGUGGUAAUCUUGAGGUGCUGUCGCCCCUGGAGGUGACACAGACCCAUGUGAGGGUGUCCAUCGCCGGCCUGUCCCUGUGGGGCCUUGUGAAGAGCCUGUGGGACUCCAGCAUCCUGGGACAGGUGCUGCUGUUCCUGCAGCCAGGGGAUGGCAUGGACCUGCUACCCAAGUUGAACGUGUUUGUGCUCCCUGGGAACGUACUUCUCAGCCAGCAGUGUCAUCCUGUCCUCUCCUCUCCUCCACAGGUCACCGAGCAGCAGGACUGCAGCAGCACCCUCAUUCAGACGAGCUCAACCUGUAAACUGACACCGAAAGCGACGUACAGAGUGUCCAGCAGCAGCAAGAAGACUAAGAUAAUCCAGCCUGAGGUAAUGGUUCGCCUGUGACACAGACAGAGAUCACUGGCCUUUAUGACCCAAACUGUUGAGAGAGCAUGAGGGAGAGACAGAAAGAUCUAGAGAGAGAGAAGCAGGAAAGACUCGGGUCAUGAAAGGGUGAUCUGAGUAUCAUCAGUGUCAUCGAAGCAAUGAAACAGGUGGACCCAUCCAGCAGAUACACAGAGAAAGGAAGGGGCCCGAGUUCUGACACGUGAAGAACACCAGGGGGGGAGAAGGCCAGAGCCUCACCAGGACACUUGGAAAGAGCAGUUCAAGGGACAAGAAGAGAACCAGCCAAGAGCAGCACCUGAAAUACCCAGGACAGGAAGAGGAUGUGGCCAGUCAUGUCAGAGGUCAAGGAGAAUUGGGAUAGUGGAGAGAGAAGCAGAAAGCAGAGUCACAGAGUCUGUAGAGGGAGUCCAGCUGACUUCAUGCUCAAAAAGGAUUUGCCUGUGUGACAGACUGCUAGCUCUUUAACACAGCGUUACUGUUGUUCUUCCAGUCCGAGUGCUU
rnacentral:lncRNA from 1 species